rnacentral:rRNA from 1 species
GUGCCAGCAGCCGCGGUAAUACGGAGGAUGCAAGCGUUAUCCGGAUUCAUUGGGUUUAAAGGGUGCGCAGGCUGUAAAGCAAGUCAGUGGUGAAAGCCCUGGGCUUAACUCAGGGAUUGCCAUUGAAACUGUUUUACUAGAGUGUAGUAGAGGACGGCGGAAUGAGUUGUGUAGCGGUGAAAUGCAUAGAUAUAACUCAGAACACCUAUUGCGUAGGCAGCUGUCUAUACUACAACUGACGCUGAGGCACGAAAGCGUGGGGAGCGAACAGGAUUAGAUACCCUGGUAGUCCACGCUGUAAACGAUGAUCACUCGUUGUUGGCUACUUAGUAGUCAGUGACCAAGGGAAACCGAUAAGUGAUCCACCUGGGGAGUACGUCGGCAACGAUGAAACUCAAAGGAAUUGACGGGGGCCCGCACAAGCGGAGGAACAUGUGGUUUAAUUCGAUGAUACGCGAGGAACCUUACCUGGGCUUAAAUGCUGGCUGCAUUGGAGGGAAACCUUCAUUUCCUACGGGACCGCCAGCAAGGUGCUGCAUGGUUGUCGUCAGCUCGUGCCGUGAGGUGUCGGGUUAAGUCCCAUAACGAGCGCAACCCCUAUCGCUAGUUGCCAGCAUGUAAUGGUGGGGACUCUAGCGAGACUGCCGGUGUAAACCGGAGGAAGGUGGGGAUGACGUCAAAUCAGCACGGCCCUUACGUCCAGGGCUACACACGUGUUACAAUGGCCGGUACAAAGAGCAGCCACCUGGCGACAGGGCGCUAAUCUCUAAAACCGGUCUCAGUUCGGAUCGAAGUCUGCAAUUCGACUUCGUGAAGGUGGAUUCGCUAG